rnacentral:rRNA from 1 species
AAAGCGUGCGCAGGCGGUUAUGUAAGACAGUUGUGAAAUCCCCGGGCUCAACCUGGGAACUGCAUCUGUGACUGCAUAGCUAGAGUACGGUAGAGGGGGAUGGAAUUCCGCGUGUAGCAGUGAAAUGCGUAGAUAUGCGGAGGAACACCGAUGGCGAAGGCAAUCCCCUGGACCUGUACUGACGCUCAUGCACGAAAGCGUGGGGAGCAAACAGGAUUAGAUACCCGGGU